rnacentral:lncRNA from 1 species
GGAAAAAAACCUACAGAGAACAAGGAGUUGGUGUGUACUUCCCGGAAAUACCGGUGUGGUUUCUGGGUACACAUGCAGAGAGCUCCCAGAGCCUAGGUGCCUAGGAGCCAGACACCCAAAGGGCAGGACUCCUUCCACACCAAAACACUAAUGCUGACAGCUGGUCGCCUGGCCUCUGACUCCCUACAGAUGCCAAGGAAAACAGACGCCCCAAAGACCUGCUUUGCCUUCUACCUGGAUUCAUUGCUCUGCUCUCACUUGGGAGCUUUCUCUCACCAGCAGAAUUCUGUGCGUUCUGAGAGCAGGCACCAGGUCACGGCCCUCAUGUCUCCACCUUUGUCUCCACAAAGAUGCUCCGUUGUGCCAGCUGGUUGGCUCCACGCAGGACGGUUCUGGAAGCUCAACAACUGCACCUAGACUUAUCCACUUAUCAGCAAGGCAUUUUCUGGAUUUCGGAGAGAAACUAGAGGUCGUUUUCAGCCUUCUUUCCUUGCUUCAUUGAAGAUGUACUGAGCACCUACUAUCUGCCAGGUUCUGUGCUAGAAACUAAGCCUGCUGCAAUGAACAAGGCAAGAUCCCUACUUUGUUGGAGCCUGUGUUCCCAUGAAAGAGAACAGACAAUAAACACAUUAACGUAGUGCACCAGGGGCCUGAAUGGAAAAGGAAGCAGCCGUGGCGAACGUGGUGUGGAAAGGGGGAUGCUGCCAGCUGGUCAAGCAGGUGCAGGCCUUGGGACAGACAGGGGCAGUUCUCAGAGUCGCAUGUGUCAGAAACGCAGAUACAACCACCUGGCUCGGAGACUCUGCCACCAAGCAGCCUCCCUCCUGUGGUCAGUAUGAGCUGGCAUCAGGAUCCUGGGCUGCCCUAACUGCCUGGAGAGAACUUGAAUCAGAAUCUUCAGAAGCCAAGGGAGAGAGGCUAGGUCCCUGCCUCCACAGCAGGAAGAGAGUUCCGGGUAAGAAACGCCCCAUUCUCCUCGUCAAUGGGACGUUGUUCCUGCCCUUACUGAAAAGAGAAAGGGGAUCUUCCCAUCUGGUUCAGGGGAAAGAAAGGGGGCCCUGUGGGGAAAGAAAC